rnacentral:rRNA from 1 species
UACGGGGGGGGCAAGCGUUGUUCGGAAUUACUGGGCGUAAAGGGCCAGUAGGCGGCCAACUAAGUCCGACGUGAAAUCCCAAGGCUUAACCUUGGAACUGCGUCGGAUACUGGAUGGCUUGAAUUCGGGAGAGGGAUGCAGAAUUCCAGGUGUAGCGGUGAAAUGCGUAGAUAUCUGGAGGAACACCGGUGGCGAAGGCGGCAUCCUGGACCGGUAUUGACGCUGAUGCGCGAAAGCCAGGGGAGCAAACGGG